CUAGCGACUUCAGAGUUUGAUCCUGGCUCAGGAUUAACGCUGGCGGCGUGCAUAACACAUUCAAGUCGAACGGAUGUAGCAAUACAUCAGUGGCGGACGGGUGAGUAACGCGUGAGCAAUCUACCUUCGGGUGCGGAAUAACAACCGGAAACAGUUGCUAAUACCGCAUGAAACGGCAGCAUCGCAUGGUGCAACCGUCAAAGGCUUGCUGCCCGAAGAUGAGCUUGCGUCUGAUUAGGUAGUUGGUGGGGUAGUGGCUCACCAAGCCGACGAUCAGUAGCCGGACUGAGAGGUUGAACGGCCACAUUGGAACUGAGAUACGGUCCAG
rnacentral:rRNA from 1 species